rnacentral:rRNA from 1 species
UACAGAGGUCCCAAGCGUUGUUCGGAUUCAUUGGGCGUAAAGGGUGCGUAGGCGGCGCGGUAAGUCGGGUGUGAAAUCUCGGAGCUUAACUCCGAAACUGCAUUCGAUACUGCCGUGCUUGAGGACUGGAGAGGGGACUGGAAUUUACGGUGUAGCGGUGAAAUGCGUAGAUAUCGUAAGGAAGACCAGUGGCGAAGGCGGGUCUCUGGACAGUUCCUGACGCUGAGGCACGAAGGCCAGGGGAGCAAACGGG